ACCCAUUUUAUCUUGCUUCAUAUUUUCAUCAAAUCUCCUCCAUUUAUCUUAUUUCUUCUUUUACUCUUUAAAAAAAACUUCUUUUCACCCUAAGUCACAAAAAGUUCCAAAUUCUCACUUGUUUUUGGAUUAUUUUCUCAUUAUUGUGUGUUAUUGUAAUUGUGUGUCUUGCUUUAAUGUGUGGGUAUUCAAAAAUAUCUCAUACUCAUUCAUUAUUC
rnacentral:lncRNA from 1 species